rnacentral:rRNA from 1 species
CCUACGGGUGGCAGCAGUGAGGAAUAUUGGUCAAUGGACGAGAGUCUGAACCAGCCAAGUAGCGUGAAGGAUGACUGCCCUCUGGGUUGUAAACUUCUUUUAUAUGGGAAUAAAAUGUUCCACGUGUGGGAUUUUGUAUGUACCAUAUGAAUAAGGAUCGGCUAACUCCGUGCCAGCAGCCGCGGUAAUACGGAGGAUCCGAGCGUUAUCCGGAUUUAUUGGGUUUAAAGGGAGCGUAGGUGGAUUGUUAAGUCAGUUGUGAAAGUUUGCGGCUCAACCGUAAAAUUGCAGUUGAAACUGGCAGUCUUGAGUACAGUAGAGGUGAGCGGAAUUCGUGGUGUAGCGGUGAAAUGCUUAGAUAUCACGAAGAACACCGAUGGCGAAGGCAGUUCACUGGACUGCAACUGACACUGAGGCUCGAAAGUGUGGGUAUCAAACAGGAUUAGAUACCCGGGUAGUC